UGGUGGGUAGUUUGACUGGGGCGGUCUCCUCCUAAAGAGUAACGGAGGAGCACGAAGGUUGGCUAAUCCUGGUCGGACAUCAGGAGGUUAGUGCAAUGGCAUAAGCCAGCUUGACUGCGAGCGUGACGGCGCGAGCAGGUGCGAAAGCAGGUCAUAGUGAUCCGGUGGUUCUGAAUGGAAGGGCCAUCGCUCAACGGAUAAAAGGUACUCCGGGGAUAACAGGCUGAUACCGCCCAAGAGUUCAUAUCGACGGCGGUGUUUGGCACCUCGAUGUCGGCUCAUCACAUCCUGGGGCUGAAGUAGGUCCCAAGGGUAUGGCUGUUCGCCAUUUAAAGUGGUACGCGAGCUGGGUUUAGAACGUCGUGAGACAGUUCGGUCCCUAUCUGCCGUGGGCGCUGGAGAACUGAGGGGGGCUGCUCCUAGUACGAGAGGACCGGAGUGGACGCAUCACUGGUGUUCGGGUUGUCAUGCCAAUGGCACUGCCCGGUAGCUAAAUGCGGAAGAGAUAAGUGCUGAAAGCAUCUAAGCACGAAACUUGCCCCGAGAUGAGUUCUCCCUGACUCCUUGAGAGUCCUGAAGGAACGUUGAAGACGACGACGUUGAUAGGCCGGGUGUGUAAGCGCAGCGAUGCGUUGAGCUAACCGGUACUAAUGAACCGUGAGGCUUAACCUUACAACGCCGAAGCUGUU
rnacentral:rRNA from 1 species